UACGUAGGGUGCGAGCGUUGUCCGGAAUUAUUGGGCGUAAAGAGCUCGUAGGCGGUUUGUUGCGUCUAUCGUGAAAACCUGCAGCUUAACUGUGGGCUUGCGGUGGAUACGGGCAGACUUGAGUUCGGUAGGGGAGACUGGAAUUCCUGGUGUAGCGGUGAAAUGCGCAGAUAUCAGGAGGAACACCGGUGGCGAAAGCGCUCAUCUGGCCCGAUACUGACGCUGAAGCACGAAAGCUAGGGGAGCAAACGGG
rnacentral:rRNA from 1 species